GGUUAAGCGACUAAGCGUACACGGUGGAUGCCCUGGCAGUCAGAGGCGAUGAAGGACGUGCUAAUCUGCGAUAAGCGUCGGUAAGGUGAUAUGAACCGUUAUAACCGGCGAUUUCCGAAUGGGGAAACCCAGUGUGAUUCGUCACACUAUCAUUAACUGAAUCCAUAGGUUAAUGAGGCGAACCGGGGGAACUGAAACAUCUAAGUACCCCGAGGAAAAGAAAUCAACCGAGAUUCCCCCAGUAGCGGCGAGCGAACGGGGAGGAGCCCAGAGCCUGAAUCAGUGUGUGUGUUAGUGGAAGCGUCUGGAAAGGCGCGCGAUACAGGGUGACAGCCCCGUACACAAAAAUGCACAUGCUGUGAGCUCGAUGAGUAGGGCGGGACACGUGGUAUCCUGUCUGAAUAUGGGGGGACCAUCCUCCAAGGCUAAAUACUCCUGACUGACCGAUAGUGAACCAGUACCGUGAGGGAAAGGCGAAAAGAACCCCGGCGAGGGGAGUGAAAAAGAACCUGAAACCGUGUACGUACAAGCAGUGGGAGCACGCUUAGGCGUGUGACUGCGUACCUUUUGUAUAAUGGGUCAGCGACUUAUAUUCUGUAGCAAGGUUAACCGAAUAGGGGAGCCGAAGGGAAACCGAGUCUUAACUGGGCGUUAAGUUGCAGGGUAUAGACCCGAAACCCGGUGAUCUAGCCAUGGGCAGGUUGAAGGUUGGGUAACACUAACUGGAGGACCGAACCGACUAAUGUUGAAAAAUUAGCGGAUGACUUGUGGCUGGGGGUGAAAGGCCAAUCAAACCGGGAGAUAGCUGGUUCUCCCCGAAAGCUAUUUAGGUAGCGCCUCGUGAAUUCAUCUCCGGGGGUAGAGCACUGUUUCGGCAAGGGGGUCAUCCCGACUUACCAACCCGAUGCAAACUGCGAAUACCGGAGAAUGUUAUCACGGGAGACACACGGCGGGUGCUAACGUCCGUCGUGAAGAGGGAAACAACCCAGACCGCCAGCUAAGGUCCCAAAGUCAUGGUUAAGUGGGAAACGAUGUGGGAAGGCCCAGACAGCCAGGAUGUUGGCUUAGAAGCAGCCAUCAUUUAAAGAAAGCGUAAUAGCUCACUGGUCGAGUCGGCCUGCGCGGAAGAUGUAACGGGGCUAAACCAUGCACCGAAGCUGCGGCAGCGACGCUGAUGCGUUGUUGGGUAGGGGAGCGUUCUGUAAGCCUGCGAAGGUGUGCUGUGAGGCAUGCUGGAGGUAUCAGAAGUGCGAAUGCUGACAUAAGUAACGAUAAAGCGGGUGAAAAGCCCGCUCGCCGGAAGACCAAGGGUUCCUGUCCAACGUUAAUCGGGGCAGGGUGAGUCGACCCCUAAGGCGAGGCCGAAAGGCGUAGUCGAUGGGAAACAGGUUAAUAUUCCUGUACUUGGUGUUACUGCGAAGGGGGGACGGAGAAGGCUAUGUUGGCCGGGCGACGGUUGUCCCGGUUUAAGCGUGUAGGCUGGUUUUCCAGGCAAAUCCGGAAAAUCAAGGCUGAGGCGUGAUGACGAGGCACUACGGUGCUGAAGCAACAAAUGCCCUGCUUCCAGGAAAAGCCUCUAAGCAUCAGGUAACAUCAAAUCGUACCCCAAACCGACACAGGUGGUCAGGUAGAGAAUACCAAGGCGCUUGAGAGAACUCGGGUGAAGGAACUAGGCAAAAUGGUGCCGUAACUUCGGGAGAAGGCACGCUGAUAUGUAGGUGAAGUCCCUCGCGGAUGGAGCUGAAAUCAGUCGAAGAUACCAGCUGGCUGCAACUGUUUAUUAAAAACACAGCACUGUGCAAACACGAAAGUGGACGUAUACGGUGUGACGCCUGCCCGGUGCCGGAAGGUUAAUUGAUGGGGUUAGCGCAAGCGAAGCUCUUGAUCGAAGCCCCGGUAAACGGCGGCCGUAACUAUAACGGUCCUAAGGUAGCGAAAUUCCUUGUCGGGUAAGUUCCGACCUGCACGAAUGGCGUAAUGAUGGCCAGGCUGUCUCCACCCGAGACUCAGUGAAAUUGAACUCGCUGUGAAGAUGCAGUGUACCCGCGGCAAGACGGAAAGACCCCGUGAACCUUUACUAUAGCUUGACACUGAACAUUGAGCCUUGAUGUGUAGGAUAGGUGGGAGGCUUUGAAGUGUGGACGCCAGUCUGCAUGGAGCCGACCUUGAAAUACCACCCUUUAAUGUUUGAUGUUCUAACGUGGACCCGUAAUCCGGGUUGCGGACAGUGUCUGGUGGGUAGUUUGACUGGGGCGGUCUCCUCCUAAAGAGUAACGGAGGAGCACGAAGGUUGGCUAAUCCUGGUCGGACAUCAGGAGGUUAGUGCAAUGGCAUAAGCCAGCUUGACUGCGAGCGUGACGGCGCGAGCAGGUGCGAAAGCAGGUCAUAGUGAUCCGGUGGUUCUGAAUGGAAGGGCCAUCGCUCAACGGAUAAAAGGUACUCCGGGGAUAACAGGCUGAUACCGCCCAAGAGUUCAUAUCGACGGCGGUGUUUGGCACCUCGAUGUCGGCUCAUCACAUCCUGGGGCUGAAGUAGGUCCCAAGGGUAUGGCUGUUCGCCAUUUAAAGUGGUACGCGAGCUGGGUUUAGAACGUCGUGAGACAGUUCGGUCCCUAUCUGCCGUGGGCGCUGGAGAACUGAGGGGGGCUGCUCCUAGUACGAGAGGACCGGAGUGGACGCAUCACUGGUGUUCGGGUUGUCAUGCCAAUGGCACUGCCCGGUAGCUAAAUGCGGAAGAGAUAAGUGCUGAAAGCAUCUAAGCACGAAACUUGCCCCGAGAUGAGUUCUCCCUGACUCCUUGAGAGUCCUGAAGGAACGUUGAAGACGACGACGUUGAUAGGCCGGGUGUGUAAGCGCAGCGAUGCGUUGAGCUAACCGGUACUAAUGAACCGUGAGGCUUAACCUU
rnacentral:rRNA from 1 species